AAGUCGUAACAAGGUUUCCGUAGGUGAACCUGCGGAAGGAUCAUUAUUGAGUAACUUGGCGUUGAGCUGGCUCUAUUGGGCAUGUGCUCGCGUCAUAUUAUUUACUUAUCUCUUGUGCACCUUUUGUAGUCUUUGGAGCGCUCGCAGUCAAAUGCGGUUUGGGGCUUGGGUUUACCCUUGCCCUGUUCGCUUCAAAGACUAUGUUUUUAUACACACUAUUGAAGUUAUAGAAUGUUAUCUUAUUGACUUUUUUUGAGUCAGUAAAACCUAUACAACUUUCAGCAACGGAUCUCUUGGCUCUCCCAUCGAUGAAGAACGCAGCGAAAUGCGAUAAGUAAUGUGAAUUGCAGAAUUCAGUGAAUCAUCGAAUCUUUGAACGCACCUUGCGCCCUUCGGUAUUCCGAAGGGCAUGCCUGUUUGAGUGUCAUUAAAUUCUCAACCUUGUAAGCUUUUUUGCUUGCCUAGGCUUGGAUGUGAGGGUUGCUGGCUUCCUUCAGUGGAUGGUCUGCUCCCUUCAAAUUUAUUAGUGGGAUCCUUUGUGGAUGGUCACUUGGUGUGAUAAUUAUCUACGCCGCUCGACUUGAAGCAAAACUUGUGGGAACCCGCUCAUAGCCGUCUCUCUCGAGACAAUCUUGACAAUUUGACCUCAAAUCANGUAGGACUACCCGCUGAACUUAA
rnacentral:rRNA from 1 species